CCUACGGGUGGCAGCAGUGGGGAAUAUUGCACAAUGGGGGAAACCCUGAUGCAGCGACGCCGCGUGAGUGAAGAAGUUUUUCGGUAUGUAAAGCUCUAUCAGCAGGGAAGCAAAUGACGGUACCUGACUACGAAGCCCCGACUAACUACGUGCCAGAAGCCGCGGUAAUACGUCGGGAGCCGGCGUUAUCCGGAUUUACUGGGUGUAAAGGGAGCGUAGACGGCCAGACAAGUCAGAAGUGAAAGCCCAGGGCUCAACCCUGGGACUGCUUUUGAAACUGCCGGGCUGGAGUGCAGGAGAGGUAUGCGGAAUUCGUGGUGUAGCGGUGAAAUGCGUAGAUAUUAGGAAGAACACCGGUUGCGAAGGCGGCUUACUGGACUGUAACUGACGUUGAGGCUCGAAAGCGUGGGUAGCAAACAGGAUUAGAUACCCGAGUAGUC
rnacentral:rRNA from 1 species